rnacentral:rRNA from 1 species
CAGCAGCCGCGGUAAUACGAAGGGUGCAAGCGUUACUCGGAACUACUGGGCGUAAAGCGUGUGUAGGUGGUUGUUUAAGUCUGUCGUGAAAGCCCUGGGCUCAACCUGGGAAUGGCAAUGGAUACUGGCAAGCUAGAGUGUGUCAGAGGAUGGUGGAAUUCCCGGUGUAGCGGUGAAGUGCGUAGAGAUCGGGAGGAACAUCAGUGGCGAAGGCGGCCAUCUGGGACAACACUGACGCUGAGGCACGAAAGCGUGGGGAGCAAACAGGAUUAGAUACCCCCGUAGUCCCUGUCUCUUAUAC